rnacentral:rRNA from 1 species
CCUACGGGGGGCUGCAGUGAGGAAUAUUGGUCAAUGGACGCAAGUCUGAACCAGCCAUGCCGCGUGCAGGAAGACGGCUCUAUGAGUUGUAAACUGCUGUUGUACGAGGGUAAACGCAGAUACGCGUAUCGGUCUGAAAGUAUCGUACGAAUAAGGAUCGGCUAACUCCGUGCCAGCAGCCGCGGUAAUACGGAGGAUUCAAGCGUAUCCGGAUUUCUGGGGGUUCAAGGGUGCGGAGGCGGGCGGAUAAGGUAGAGGGGAAAUCCCGCGGCUCAACUUCGGAAUUGCCUCUGAUACUGUUCGGCUAGAGCGUAGUUGCGGUAGUCGGCAUGUAUGGUGUAGCGGU